GGUUAAGCUGGUAAGAGCACACGGAGGAUGCCUAGGCGCUAGGAGCCGAAGAAGGACGUGGCGAACAACGAUAUGCCCCGGGGAGUCGUAAGCAGACUUUGAUCCGGGGGAUGUCCGAAUGGGGGAACCCGGCUGCGGUUAUGCGCAGUCACUCACUUCUGAAUCCAUAGGAAGUGAAGAGGCAGACCAGGGGAACUGAAACAUCUAAGUACCCUGAGGAGAAGAAAACAAUCGUGAUUCCGUCAGUAGCGGCGAGCGAAAGCGGAGGAGCCCAAACCAGGAGAGCUUGCUCACUGGGGUUGUGGGACACCUUAUACGGAGUUACAAAGGAGCAGAUUAGGCGAAGAGGUCUGGAAAGGCCUGCCACAGAAGGUAACAGCCCUGUAGCUGAAAGUCUGCUCUCUCCAAGGUGGAUCCCGAGUACGGCGGGACACGGGAAACCCCGUCGGAAUCCGGCAGGACCAUCUGCCAAGGCUAAAUACUCCCUAGCGACCGAUAGUGAAGCAGUACCGUGAGGGAAAGGUGAAAAGCACCCCGGGAGGGGAGUGAAAGAGAACCUGAAAACCGUGUGUGCUUACAAGAAGUCAGAGCCCUAUGAUUUUCUUCGGGAAAUCAGGGUGAUGGCGUGCCUUUUGUAGAAUGAACCGGCGAGUUACGCUUGCAUGCAAGGUUAAGGUGAAGAGCCGGAGCCGCAGCGAAAGCGAGUCUGAACAGGGCAAAGCAUAAGCUUACGAAGUAGCAAUACUUUGUAUUGCUUGGAAGUAUGCAGGCGUAGACCCGAAACCGUGUGAUCUACCCUUGUCCAGGGUGAAAAGCGUGGAAAAACACUCACUGGAGGUCUGAACCCACGAAUGUUGAAAAAUUCGGGGAUGAGGUGGGGGUAGCGGAGAAAUUCCAAUCGAACUCGGAGAUAGCUGGUUCUCCUCGAAAUAGCUUUAGGGCUAGCCUCGGGUUAGAGUGAUGGAGGUAAAGCACUGAUUGGGUGCGGGGCCCGCCAAGGGUUACCAAGUCUAGUCAAACUCUGAAUGCCAUCCACUCGGUGCCCGGGAGUCAGACAGUGAGUAAGAUCCAUUGUCAAGAGGGAAACAGCCCAGAUCAUCAGCUAAGGUCCCCAAGUGUGUGUUAAGUGGGAAAGGAUGUGGAGUUGCACAGACAACCAGGAUGUUGGCUUAGAAGCAGCCACCAUUUAAAGAGUGCGUAAUAGCUCACUGGUCGAGGACUCUGCGCCGAAAAUGUAACGGGGCUAAAUACACCACCGAAGCUAUGGGUCCUAAUUAAGGGCAGUAGGGGAGCGUUCCAAGCAGCAUAGAAGGUUGACCGUGAGGACAGCUGGAGCGCUUGGAAGUGAGAAUGCCGGUAUGAGUAACGAAAAGAUCAGUGAGAAUCUGAUCCGCCGAAAGCCUAAGGGUUCCUGAGGAAGGUUCGUCCGCUCAGGGUAAGUCGGGACCUAAGGCGAGGCCGAAAGGCGUAGUCGAAGGACAACAGGCAGAAAUUCCUGUACCACCAAACACCGCUAUGAGCGAUGGGGUGACACAGUAGGGUAGGGACGCAAGCUGAUGGAAGUGCUUGUCCAAGCAGUGAGGCUGGUGUGCAGGCAAAUCCGCACACGAUGAAAGUCGGGCUGUGACGGGAGUGAAAAUAGCAGUAGCGAAGGUCUUGAUCUCACACUGUCAAGAAAAGCCUCUAGCCAGGUGCAGGUGCCCGUACCGCAAACCGACACAGGUAGGCGAGAAGAGAAUUCUAAGGCGCGCGGAAGAACUCUCGUUAAGGAACUCGGCAAAAUGACCCCGUAACUUAGGGAGAAGGGGUGCCCCGGUAGAGUGAAUAGCUCGAGGGGGCCGCAGUGAAUAGGCCCAAGCGACUGUUUAGCAAAAACACAGGUCUAUGCGAAGCCGCAAGGCGAAGUAUAUGGGCUGACGCCUGCCCGUGCCGGGAAGGUUAAGGGGAGGGUUAGGGCUUAAGGCCCGGAAGCUAUGAACCGAAGCCCCAGUAAACGGCGGCCGUAACUAUAACGGUCCUAAGGUAGCGAAAUUCCUUGUCAGGUAAAUUCUGACCCGCACGAAUGGCGUAACGACUUGGGCGCUGUCUCAACGAGAGAUCCGGUGAAAUUUUAAUACCUGUGAAGAUGCAGGUUACCCGCGACAAGACGGAAAGACCCCAUGGAGCUUUACUUUGCAGCUUGAUAUUGGACUUUGGUACGAUCUGUACAGGAUAGGUGGGAGCCUAAGAAGCCGGAGCGCCAGCUUCGGUGGAGGCAGCGUUGGGAUACCACUCUGAUCGUAUCGGAGUUCUAACCCGGGACCGUGAACCGGUUCGGGGACAGUGUCAGGUGGGCAGUUUGACUGGGGCGGUCGCCUCCUAAAGAGUAACGGAGGCGUCCCAAGGUUCCCCUCAGAAUGGUUGGAAAUCAUUCGAAGAGUGCAAAGGCAGAAGGGAGCUUGACUGCGAGACCUACAAGUCGAGCAGGGACGAAAGUCGGGCUUAGUGAUCCGGUGGUACCGCAUGGAAGGGCCAUCGCUCAACGGAUAAAAGCUACCCUGGGGAUAACAGGCUUAUCUCCCCCAAGAGUCCACAUCGACGGGGAGGUUUGGCACCUCGAUGUCGGCUCAUCGCAUCCUGGGGGCUGAAGUAGGUCCCAAGGGUUGGGCUGUUCGCCCAUUAAAGCGGUACGCGAGCUGGGUUCAGAACGUCGUGAGACAGUUCGGUCCCUAUCUGUCGUGGGCGCAGGAAAUUUGAGAGGAGCUGUCCUUAGUACGAGAGGAUCGGGAUGGACGUACUGCUGGUGUACCAGUUGUUCCGCCAGGAGCACAGCUGGGUAGCUAUGUACGGAAGGGAUAAGCGCUGAAAGCAUCUAAGCGUGAAGCCCGCCUCAAGAUGAGAUUUCCCAAGUAGUAAGACCCUUGAAGACGACGAGGUAGAUAGGUUGGGGGGUGGAAGCGCAGUAAUGCGUGGAGCUGACCAAUACUAAUCGGUCGAGGGCUUAUCCUA
rnacentral:rRNA from 1 species